GGACUACUGGGGUAUCUAAUCCUGUUUGCUCCCCACGCUUUCGUGCAUGAGCGUCAGUGUUAGCCCAGGGGGCUGCCUUCGCCAUCGGUGUUCCUCCAGAUCUCUACGCAUUUCACUGCUACACCUGGAAUUCCACCCCCCUCUUCCACACUCGAGCUCCUCAGUUUCAAACGCAGUUCCCAGGUUAAGCCCGGGGAUUUCACAUCUGACUUAAGGAGCCGCCUGCGCACGCUUUACGCCCAGUAAUUCCGAUUAACGCCUGCACCCUACGUAUUACCGCGGCUGCUGGCAC
rnacentral:rRNA from 2 species